GAAACAACAUAAGGCAAAAGGUAUUCAAAUGUAUUUCCACAAGACUGGUCGCACUAGCAGGUACACUGACCAUGUGCCUAAGGACUGUCCACUAGGAAGUUCAAUCUUGCACUGGAGAGGGUGGUAAAAACACUUAUGGUCCAUGUCUGCUCUCUGCAGCCACAUUGUAGCAGGGCUGGAUUGUGUCCGUGUGGUGAUCCUGGUGCCAGGAUGGCCUCCUGCAGGUGCCUGUAGCCAAUUUUACAAUACUGGGCACUACUAUUGCCCCUGAAGAAGCCAAUGUUUGGCGAAACAUGUAGAGAAUAUUGAUCUGUAACCUUCUGAGAUCUGUAACACCUUGGCCAGUACUACAGUUUCAUUACUGCUCUGCUGUUUUUAUGUACCUAUGAAUGUAUUGUAUGUCUGAAAUACUUUUGUAAUAAAACUACCUAAAUCUUUUAAA